rnacentral:tRNA from 1 species
CAGGACAUAGUUUAACGAGAAUGCUGGCUUUGGGGGCCAGGGGUGGGUAAAUAGCCCUGUCUUGA